rnacentral:rRNA from 1 species
GACGAACGCUGGCGGCGUGCCUAAUACAUGCAAGUAGAACGCACAGUUUAUACCGUAGCUUGCUACACCAUAGACUGUGAGUUGCGAACGGGUGAGUAACGCGUAGGUAACCUGCCUGGUAGCGGGGGAUAACUAUUGGAAACGAUAGCUAAUACCGCAUAAUAUUGAUUAUUGCAUGAUAAUUGAUUGAAAGAUGCUAUUGCAUCACUACCAGAUGGACCUGCGGUGUAUUAGCUAGUAGGUGAGGUAACGGCUCACCUAGGCGACGAUACAUAGCCGACCUGCGAGGGUGGGCGGCCACCCUGGGACUGUGACACGGCCCAGACUCCUACGGGGGGCAGCAGUAGGGAAUCUUCGGCAAUGGGCGAAAGUCUGACCGAGCAACGCCGCGUGAGUGAAGAAGGUUUUCGGAUCGUAAAGCUCUGUUGUAAGAGAAGAACGGGUGUGCGAGUGGAAAGUUCACACUGUGACGGUAUCUUACCAGAAAGGGACGGCUAACUACGUG